rnacentral:rRNA from 1 species
AGACGUAGGGCGCGAGCGUUGUCCGGAUUUAUUGGGCGUAAAGAGCUCGUAGGCGGCUUGUCGCGUCGACUGUGAAAACCCGCGGCUCAACCGUGGGCCUGCAGCCGAUACGGGCAGGCUAGAGUUCGGUAGGGGAGACUGGAAUUCCUGGUGUAGCGGUGAAAUGCGCAGAUAUCAGGAGGAACACCGGUGGCGAAGGCGGGUCUCUGGGCCGAUACUGACGCUGAGGAGCGAAAGCGUGGGGAGCAAACAGGA